ensembl:misc_RNA Metazoa_SRP Metazoan signal recognition particle RNA
GCUGGGUGUGGUGGCUCACGCCUGUAAUCCCAACACUUUAGGAGGCUGAGGCGGGUGGAUCACCUGAGGUCAGGAGUUCGAGACCAGCCUGGCCAACAUGGUGAAACUCUGCCUCUA